rnacentral:rRNA from 1 species
UGUGACUGAGCGGCGGACGGGUGAGUAACGCGUGGGCAACCUGCCUUACACAGGGGGAUAACAGUUAGAAAUGACUGCUAAUACCGCAUAAGACCCCGGGACCGCAUGGUUCCGAGGUAAAAACUCCGGUGGUGUAAGAUGGGCCCGCGUCUGAUUAGGUAGUUGGCGGGGUAACGGCCCACCAAGCCGACGAUCAGUAGCCGACCUGAGAGGGUGACCGGCCACAUUGGGACUGAGACACGGCCCAGACUCCUACGGGAGGCAGCAG